rnacentral:rRNA from 1 species
UAGGGUCAAGUGAAUAAGUGCAUAUGGUGGAUGCCUUGGCGAUUACAGGCGAUGAAGGACGUGAUAGCCUGCGAAAAGCUUCGGGGAGCUGGCAAAUAAGCUUUGAUCCGGAGAUGUCCGAAUGGGGAAACCCACCCGCAAGGGUAACCGCUCCUGAAUAUAUAGGGAGAUGGUGGCGAACCGAGUGAACUGAAACAUCUAAGUAGCUCGAGGAAAAGAAAUCAACCGAGAUUCCGUAAGUAGUGGCGAGCGAACAUGGAAUAGCCUGUUAUUUUUAGCAGAUGCGAUAGUAGAACGGAAUGGAAAGUCCGACCGUAGUGGGUGAUAGUCCCGUAUACGAAAUCCCGUUUGUGGAACUAGGGUAACGAAAAGUAGGGCGGGGCACGAGAAACCUUGUCUGAACAUGGGGGGACCAUCCUCCAAGGCUAAAUACUCGUAAUCGACCGAUAGUGAACAAGUACCGUGAGGGAAAGGCGAAAAGAACCCCGGGAGGGGAGUGAAAUAGAUCCUGAAACCGUAUGCAUACAAACAGUGGGAGCGGACUUGUUCCGUGACUGCGUACCUUUUGUAUAAUGGGUCAGCGACUUACAUUCAGUGGCAAGCUUAACCGAUAGGGGAGGCGUAGAGAAAUCGAGUCCGAAUAGGGCGUUUUAGUCGCUGGGUGUAGACCCGAAACCAAGUGAUCUAUCCAUGGCCAGGAUGAAGGUGCCGUAACAGGUACUGGAGGUCCGAACCCACAAAUGUUGAAAAAUUUGGGGAUGAGCUGUGGAUAGGGGUGAAAGGCUAAACAAACUUGGAGAUAGCUGGUUCUCUCCGAAAACUAUUUAGGUAGUGCCUCGUAUUUAACUCUCGGGGGUAGAGCACUGUUAUGGCUAGGGGGUUCAUAAGAACUUACCAAACCAUUGCAAACUCCGAAUACUGAGAAGUUCAAUUACGGGAGACAGUCCAUGGGUGCUAACGUCCGUGGACAAGAGGGAAACAACCCAGACCGACAGCUAAGGUCCCAAAUGACGUGCUAAGUGGAAAACGAAGUGGGAAGGCAUAGACAGCCAGGAUGUUGGCUUAGAAGCAGCCAUCAUUUAAAGAAAGCGUAAUAGCUCACUGGUCGAGUCGUCCUGCGCGGAAGAUGUAACGGGGCUAAGCACGUAACCGAAGCUUCGGACGCCAGUUUACUGGCGUGGUAGGAGAGCGUUCUGUAGGCCUGCGAAGGUGUGCUGUGAGGCAUGCUGGAGGUAUCAGAAGUGCGAAUGCUGACAUGAGUAGCGAUAAAGGGAGUGAAAAGCUCCCUCGCCGAAAGCCCAAGGUUUCCUGCGCAACGUUCAUCGGCGCAGGGUGAGUCGGCCCCUAAGGUGAGGCAGAGAUGCGUAGCUGAUGGGAAACAGGUUAAUAUUCCUGUACCUCAAUACAAUGCGAUGUGGGGACGGAGAAGGUUAGGUCAGCCGGGUGUUGGAUGUCCCGGUUCAAGCGUGUAGGUUGGUUCUUUAGGCAAAUCCGGAGAGCUAAGACUGAGACGUGAUAACGAGCGUACUUGUACGUGAAGUGAUUGAUACCAUGCUUCCAAGAAAAGCCACUAAGCUUCAGUUGUAUUAAGACCGUACCGCAAACCGACACAGGUGGGCAGGAUGAGAAUUCUAAGGCGCUUGAGAGAACCCGGGAGAAGGAACUCGGCAAAUUAGCACCGUAACUUCGGGAGAAGGUGCGCCCCGGUAGCGUGUAGAGAUUUACUCUUGAAGCGUGAUGGGGUUGCAGUGAAAAGGUGGCUGCGACUGUUUAAUAAAAACACAGCACUCUGCAAACACGAAAGUGGACGUAUAGGGUGUGACGCCUGCCCGGUGCUGGAAGAUUAAAUGAUGGGGUGCAAGCUCUUGAUUGAAGUCCCAGUAAACGGCGGCCGUAACUAUAACGGUCCUAAGGUAGCGAAAUUCCUUGUCGGGUAAGUUCCGACCCGCACGAAUGGCGUAACGAUGGCCACACUGUCUCCUCUCGGGACUCAGCGAAGUUGAAAUGUUUGUGAAGAUGCAAUCUCCCCGCGGCUAGACGGAAAGACCCCAUGAACCUUUACUGCAGCUUUACAUUGGACUUUGACAAGAUUUGUGUAGGAUAGGUGGGAGCCUGUGAAACGUGGUCGCCAGAUCAUGUGGAGGCAUCGUUGAAAUACCACCCUGAUGUUGUUGAGGUUCUAACCUAGGUCCGUAAUCCGGACUGGGGACCGUGUAUGGUAGGCAGUUUGACUGGGGCGGUCUCCUCCCAAAGAGUAACGGAGGAGUGCGAAGGUAACCUAGGUACGGUCGGAAAUCGUACUGAUAGUGCAAUGGCAUAAGGUUGCUUGACUGCGAGACGGACAGGUCGAGCAGGUGCGAAAGCAGGUCAUAGUGAUCCGGUGGUUCUGUAUGGAAGGGCCAUCGCUCAACGGAUAAAAGGUACUCUGGGGAUAACAGGCUGAUUCCUCCCAAGAGUUCAUAUCGACGGGGGAGUUUGGCACCUCGAUGUCGGCUCAUCACAUCCUGGGGCUGUAGCCGGUCCCAAGGGUAUGGCUGUUCGCCAUUUAAAGUGGUACGUGAGCUGGGUUUAAAACGUCGUGAGACAGUUUGGUCCCUAUCUGCCGUGGGCGCUGCAAGUUUGAGGGGACCUGCUCCUAGUACGAGAGGACCGGAGUGGACGCACCUCUGGUGGACCAGUUAU